CCAGGAACAACUUUUCACCUGUUCUUACUGCUGUGAUUACGUUCCCUGGCAUUUGCAGAGUCGAAGGGACAGAGAGAGGGAGAGAAACAUCAAUGUGUGGUUGCUUCUCGUGCACAUUGCCCACUGAGGACCUGACCUGGCCCAAAACGCAGGAGCUGCCUGGCCGGGCAGUAAUUUUGGCACAGGGUCUCAUGAGGUUGUAGUCAGAUGUCUGCCAGGGCUGGAGUCAUCUGAAGACUUGACUGAGAUUAGAGGAUCUGCUUCUGAGAAGACUCUCACGUGGAUGGUCUUGCAGUAAAUUUAAGAAGGCCAAUUUAAGACCAAG